AACUGUGAAUGUGGAGAGUUAACAAAUAUGUUUGAAGUUCCAUCUCGUCUUUGAUUGUAUGGAAGUUCAAGUGCGUGAUUUUCUCACAUAGUUACACCUCUCGUCAGUGAUGACCCCCACGCGAUUUUUACGAACGGAAUUAGCAAACAACAAAGGAACCGUCUACGGUAUCACGCCUGGCAUUGCGCCUCCAGCCCUUCUGGUCCCAUAAUCCUGCAUUCUGGUUUGCUGAGGUGGAGACAAGCUUUUCCUACACCGGAAUAACCGCAGAUAACACAAAAUUCUCUUUUUUCGUAAGCCAGCUUGAUUAGCGAUGUUGUAAGGAGCUCCAAGACAUAAUAACAGCUCCUCCGACGAAAAACGCCUACGACAGAUUAACAGCACAGCUCAUACGUAGUAUAGCGGCUUCACAGGAAGGUCGCAAUUGCCAGGUAUUGACACAAGAAGAAAUGGGCGACAAGAAACCCUUACAAUACCUUAGCCAUCUUUACAAUGAAGUAGACAUCGACACACUUCGUAACAAACUCCUGCGCAUGAUUUGGAGCAACCGUCUGCCGGUCCAGGUGAAAGAAACAUUCGGACAUCUUUGUUACUGGACGUGGUCGCAGAACUUGCUGACCGCAUACAAGGUGCCAUCACGCCGUUCUCGCAGGUGAAGUUACUUGCAACCCUUGUUGGUAAAGAUGCAAAAUUGUUAAUGUUCAAAUGUAUGAAAUGAUGCCUGACGUCAGGGAUAGGAAUGAAGUUUUCAUGUACAGGAAGGCCUCCAAAAGACAAUACCAAAAGAAAGAAAACAAAAGAGCUUUCUGUUCAACCUUGCUUUGUGCAGCAAUUCAAAGUUCAGUCAGAAAAAUACUUCCUUCGACAACCCAAGAACAGUUUAAAACCAAUAUAGGACACUGGCUUCAACAGUCAAAAAACAGAAGUCAAACCCCAUGGAUCAUUAUACCGGCAGAAGUCAGCGAUAUUUGAUCCUUCUCUGGUCUGUGUGCUGGGGCCGGAGGGGCAUCAG